rnacentral:rRNA from 1 species
UACGUAGGGUGCAAGCGUUGUCCGGAAUCAUUGGGCGUAAAGAGCGCGUAGGCGGCCCUGUAAGUCCGCUGUGAAAGUCAAGGGCUCAACCCUUGAAUGCCGGUGGAUACUGCAGGGCUAGAGUCCGGAAGAGGCGAGUGGAAUUCCUGGUGUAGCGGUGGAAUGCGCAGAUAUCAGGAGGAACACCGAUAGCGAAGGCAGCUCGCUGGGACGGUACUGACGCUGAGGUGCGAAAGCAUGGGGAGCGAACAGG